CACCACAUGGUGGAAAUUUUCGCAACAGGACGCAGCCUAGUAGACCUCUAUGGUUCGGACGGCAGCGAAGCGAAAAAGGAG
rnacentral:sRNA from 12 species